rnacentral:rRNA from 1 species
ACGCUGGCGGCACGCCUAACACAUGCAAGUCGAACGAAGUAGCAAUACUUAGUGGCAGACGGGUGAGUAACAUGUAGGUAUCUGCCCUUUGGCCUGGAAUAACACGAGGAAACUUGUGCUAAUACCGGAUAAGUCUUUACGGAGAAAGCUUUAUGCACCAUUGGAUGAGCCUGCACUUGAUUAGUUUGUUGGUGGGGUAAUGGCCUACCAAGACUGUGAUCAAUAGCUGAUUUGAGAGGAUGAUCAGCCACAUUGGGACUGAGACACGGCCCAAACUCCUACGGGAGGCAGCAGUGGGGAAUCUUGCACAAUGGAGGAAACUCUGAUGCAGCGAUGCCGCGUGAGUGAAGAAGGCCUUUGGGUUGUAAAGCUCUUUCGUCGGGGAAGAAAAUGACUGUACCCGAAUAAGAAGGUCCGGCUAACUUCGUGCCAGCAGCCGCGGUAAUACGAAGGGACCUAGCGUAGUUCGGAAUUACUGGGCUUAAGGAGUUCGUAGGUGGUUGAAAAAGUUAGUGGUGAAAUCCCAGAGCUUAACUCUGGAACUGCCAUUAAAACUUUUCAGCUAGAGUAUGAUAGAGGAAAGCAGAAUUUCUAGUGUAGAGGUGAAAUUCGUAGAUAUUAGAAAGAAUAUCAAUUGCGAAGGCAGCUUUCUGGAUCAUUACUGACACUGAGGAACGAAAGCAUGGGUAGCGAAGAGGAUUAGAUACCCUCGUAGUCCAUGCCGUAAACGAUGUGUGUUAGACGUUGGAAAUUUAUUUUCAGUGUCGCAGGGAAACCGAUAAACACACCGCCUGGGGAGUACGACCGCAAGGUUAAAACUCAAAUGAAUUGACGGGGACCCGCACAAGUAGUGGAGCAUGUGGUUUAAUUCGAAGAUACGCGCAGAACCUUACCAACACUUGACAUGUUCGUCGCAACUCUAAGAGAUUAGAGUUUUCGGUUCGGCCGGACGAAACACAGGUGCUGCAUGGCUGUCGUCAGCUCGUGUCGUGAGAUGUUGGGUUAAGUCCCGCAACGAGCGCAACCCUCACUUUUAGUUGCCAUCAUUAAGUUGGGCACUCUAAAAGAACUGCCAGUGAUAAGCUGGAGGAAGGUGGGGAUGACGUCAAGUCCUCAUGGCCCUUACGUGUUGGGCUACACACGUGCUACAAUGGUAUCUACAACAGGAAGCAAGACGGCGACGUCAAGCAAAUCCCUAAAAGAUACCUCAGUUCGGAUUGCACUCUGCAACUCGAGUGCAUGAAGCUGGAAUUACUAGUAAUCGUGGAUCAGCGUGCCACGGUGAAUGCGUUCCCGGGUCUUGUACUCACCGCC